rnacentral:sRNA from 1 species
ACUCUAGGCUCUCCAUCUGGGAAGAGCAAGGGUUUGGGACACCGUUCUCCCUGUUUCCUUCCUUCCCAGAACAGAAGCCUGUGUCAUGGUACUUAGACAUGCCGUGAAAUUGUUCCGGUUUUAGACAUCAGUUGAGGCGUGGUCUCAGCUACACCAGUCUAAGGAAGAGUCCUGAUAAAUGCAAGCUGGAAUCGCUUUACAGUAGGAUUUCUCUGUCUGCUCCUGAACAGUGCCCGACGAAGCCAGUAGAGAGUGUAGGAUCUCCUGAAGCCACAUCCUUGGAGUUACAAGUAGUUGCAAACCUCUCAACAUGGGUUCUAGGAACUGAACCCAGGCCCUCUAGAAGGACAUCAAGUGGUCUUAACCACUGAGCCCUCUCUGCAGUCCAACCCAGGGCCCUCGGAGGCUGAGGCGAAACAAGUUCAAUGACUACGUAAGAGGGUCCAUUUUGUCUAAAUACAGUAGUUUUGGGGAUCAUGCAGCCUGGGCUGAAUGGGUGAGACCCUAUCUCAAAAAAAAAAAAUCAUCCUGUGUUGGUUUUGUGGCUUGGAGUACCACUGAAGCCAUGUCACUGCAGAGCUGGGCGAUGGCCUGAGGUAACUCAGAAUAGCACACAUGUGUGAUGUGGGAACAUAUGGUUUCAGACUGUGUUCUCUGGAACAGAAGGAAAGGGGUGACCAUGUAUUAGAUCCCCCUCUGUGGCCCUUGCUUAACUUUAAUGGUCCCCGUCUCCCACAGACCUCUUCCCUGAAGUACUUUGAGUCGUGGCCUGGAAGCAUCCUGAGGCAGCAGGAGUGGGAUGGGCAGCUCAGAGGUGGCUCCUCCCUACUGUCCCUGUACUGGUCUGUGGAAAUGUCUGUUAAGCAGAGGCUCUUGGAGGUUAUGGCUGUGAGUACUGGAAAGUUCUUUCUUGCCCCUAUACUCCCAGGAAGAAAGAUGACACAAAUCAAAGGUCCAGUGCUUUAUUAUUGUCACAAAACAUAGAGAGGAAGGCUCACUAUUCUUCCCCCCAUGGGAAAGCCACUGUGCGGGUGGGGUUGGCGGGAGCCUUGUUGGGUGGGACUCGGGAGGAUGGUGGAAAUCGUAAGCACUGUUGGAUUGGGGAAUUACUGAGUGUGGCCUAAGGUAAGUGUCUUAAGCUCUCUCAGCCUUGGGCUGCUUGCCUGCUACCUCACUGGGUCUGCAGUGAGAACUGGGAUUGCCCAGAGUGUCAAGAGCCCGAGAGUGGAGGGUGGUGAUGCUGUCAUCGGCAAGUCUGCCAUCCCGAGUAAGUCAGCAACGGUCUCCGAAUGUGAGCGGGAGGGGGGAGGGGUCUCUCUUCAGAAAUGUCUUCUGGAUGCUUGCUGGGAGCAUAGUAGCCCCUGGGGACUGCCUGGUCUCUGGAGACUCCAGGGCACACUGGAAACGAGGGUUGUGGGGCUAUGACACUUGCUACCUCCACCGGACUAGGGACAGUUUAAGGGUGGUUCUCAGGGACAUGGGUGUGUGCAUGAGUGCAUGUGUGUGUGCACACAGUCACUGUUUUCUGUCAUUGUCUACUCUAUGAGGCAGAGUCUUGGUAAACCAACCCUGGCUAGCCUGGCUGGCUGCAGGUCUCCAGGGGUCCUCUUGUCUUUCUCCCCACCAGCCUUAGGAUUGUAAGUGUGACCUCACAUAGGCGCUGGGCAUGUGAAAUCAGCGCUUUACACACUGAGCCGUGUCCCCAGCACCGAAGUUCUAGAACUUCCUUCACAUUUAUUUCUUUCUAUUGUGUGUGUGAGCGCGUUUGCUGCACACGGCAUACGACCCAUUUGGAGGUCAGAGGACAAGUUUCGGGAGCUCAGUGGCUUUGGGGACUUCUACUCAAGCCCUUAGAUUGGUGUCAAGUGCCUUUGCUGGUAAGCCCCAUCUCAUCCUUCCAGCCCAAGUCCUAUUUUAUAGCUGGAUUUCAUCAAGGGUUUUGACUUCCACUCCUGCCUCUGCCUCCCAAGUGUUGCAAAUAAAGGUGUGUGCUUUAUUUUUAAUUUUUAUCUAUUUAUUUAUUUUUUAGCACAGUGAGCAAAGACUUACUGAGAAAAAAACAGAACUCCCAAGAGUUGGGGCGGGAGGUGGGGGGAGCCACUUUUUCUUUUGACUCAGACAUUCAAUUCCAGGCUCAAAAUCAAUCCUGGUUCUACCUUUUGCUUUCUAGGUGGUCUGCCUAAGGAAAAGCCAACUCUAAGACAUGGACACAUCUCUGGCGAGAGAUGAAUAAGGGUUAAUUAAGCCCUGGUUGUGUACAGGGGUCACGAGUGUCCCUGCAGUGGGAAGAAACACCACCAGGGGCGCUCCAAAUAGCAUAUUUUCUACCUUGAAACCUCAUUUUCCUGUGGCUGCCCUCCAAAUUCAAUGGAGACGAACUGUUUCUUAGUUUACCUAACUGAUUUAAUAAACCUUGAAAAUAAAUUUGUGUAUUACUUUCUUAAUAAUGUGGAUAUGGGCCUGUGGGAAGGAAUGUGGAGGGUCAGAGUGGAGGGAAGGCUGUCUCGGAGUCUGGUUCAACCACUGUGACUCGAGACAAGUUUCUCAAGAGUGAAGCAGUUCUGAGGUUCCCACAUCCAACCUCCCCGGGAUGUUAGGAAAUAUGGACGCAGUGGGAAAAAAG